rnacentral:rRNA from 1 species
UACGUAGGGCGCAAGCGUUAAUCGGAAUUACUGGGCGUAAAGCGUGCGCAGGCGGUUUUGUAAGUCUGUCGUGAAAUCCCCGGGCUCAACCUGGGAAUUGCGAUGGAGACUGCAAGGCUAGAAUCUGGCAGAGGGGGGUAGAAUUCCACAUGUAGCAGUGAAAUGCGUAGAGAUGUGGAGGAACACCGAUGGCGAAGGCAGCCCCCUGGGUCAAGAUUGACGCUCAUGCACGAAAGCGUGGGGAGCAAACAGG